UUGUUUUUAUAUAUCACAUAACUAAGAGCAUACCCUCGUGAAAACAAUAUAUCUAAGUUUCUUCGGUGUGAAGUAAAUAUAGCUUAAUAAUGAGCGAUGACAUGGAUAGCGGAAUGUUUGCUCAGCUGCAAUGCGCUUUAGAAGAGAAAAAAUUAGAGAUAAAAGAACUUCAAGCAAUAAUAGACAAAUUAAAGGAAGAGCAACGAACUGAUACAAAAAAUUCUGAAAUUUUUAAGUUAUCCGAAAAAG